UUUCUCUCUCGUCGUCGUGAUCUCAAGGGAGAAAGACCAAGGAUCCUAGACGCGAUGAACGCAGAGCUCAAUUGAAUCUGCUCUUGGGUCGAGUUGUAUUGUAGAGAUGCUUGGGUCGGCCCCGUCUAAGUGCUCUGGACGGGCAUGGAGAGGGUGAAAAUCCCGUCUGGAUGGGGUGUCCGCGUCCAUGUGAAGCUCCUCGACGAGUCGAGUUGUUUGGGAAUGCAGCUCUAAAUGGGUGGUAAAUUUCAUCUAAAGCUAAAUACUGGCCGGAGACCGAUAGCGCACAAGUAGAGUGAUCGAAAGAUGAAAAGCACUUUGAAAAGAGAGUUAAACAGCACGUGAAAUUGUUGAAAGGGAAGCGCUUGCGACCAGACUCGCUUCCGGGGUUCAGCCGGCUUUCGGGCCGGUGUACUUCCCCGGGGGCGGGCCAGCGUCGGUUUGGGCGGCCGGUCAAAGGCCCCUGGAAUGUAACGCCUCUCGGGGCGCCUUAUAGUCAGGGGUGUCAUGCGGCCAGCCUGGACCGAGGAACGCGCUUCGGCACGGACGCUGGCAUAAUGGUCGUAAACGACCCGUCUUGAAACACGGACCAAGGAGUCUAACAUCUACGCGAGUGUUCGGGUGUCAAACCCGUGCGCGCAGUGAAAGCGAACGGAGGUGGGAGCCCCCUCGAGGGGCGCACCAUCGACCGAUCCUGAUGUCUUCGGAUGGAUUUGAGUAAGAGCGUAGCUGUGGGGACCCGAAAGAUGGUGAACUAUGCCUGAAUAGGGCGAAGCCAGAGGAAACUCUGGUGGAGGCUCGCAGCGGUUCUGACGUGCAAAUCGAUCGUCAACAUUUGGGUAUAGUGGGCGAAAUGACUAAUCGUUCAUACUCCGUGAUCCCU
rnacentral:rRNA from 1 species